AAAGCGGAAGGAAUAUAGCCACGGUGGUGCAUGGCCAUCAGAUUCCCCUAUACGGCAGUGUCUCUCCCCAUCUCGACAAACUGUCCCUGCCCCUCAAUCUCACUCUCGUCCUCCGUUCCAGGGCUUACAUUUUAGGCAGACUCGUCACCUCCAAUUUCCAUACAAGGAUCAUUUGCUCUUUCACUCUUAAUGCCAACCGCCUUACCAAACCCAUGUCUCUUAUCCACUCAUGUACUCAUCACCACUGACACCACCUUGCACACUUUCUGUGUACUUUGGAUAUAUAUUUUUAUCUUUUGCAAUCAAUCAACAAAUUCUUCCAGGAAUAUUGCUACGACCAAAAAAAAUAUAUGCCAAGAUAAGUUUACAGUUUCCACCGAGUUUAUUAAUAUUCAAGAGUGAAGAACAAUGUGCCAAGAUUCUACAAAAAGAAAAAGAAUUCAAAGCCUAACAUAAUCGGUAAAUAUAUGUACAAAUAUACUAUGAGUAGCCUUGGAAGUUGGAAUGAAGAGAACCUCCUGCAAUCAUCACUAGAGUAGUUUCUGUAUAACAAUAUCUUUUCAGCUAUAAAGUGAUCCAUACUUUGUAUUGUGUUUACAUCCAUUAUUCUACGAAUGGAACGUUAAAUUUUGAACUUUAUGAAACGUAUUGUUGUGUGAUACUAUUAUCUUUCACAUAAAGAAAUUUUAAUUCAUUUGAUUUCUUUCAUUGAUAUCCCUAUCUAUAAUAGUCUUUCAACAUAGAAUCCAAAUCUAUGUUUUUUUUUUGAUCAAAAAAUCCAAAUCUAUGUUUAGACUACACAAUUACAUUCAAAGAAUUUGAUAGAAUUCAUCACAUAUGUUACUGUAAACGAAGGAAAAAGAGAGUGGAGGCAGAGGAAAGUCAAAAGGAAACAGAGGAAAAGAAGAUUGAUAUGAUCUGUAAGCUGAGCUGGUCGAUUGAUAGGAAGGAUCAAAGACUCCUGGAUAAGCCACAAGUAGCAUAAAUAAGAAAAAGUGUACUUGAUUUACUGUUUCCCUAUGCGUUUUACAUUUAUGUAUUUGUUUGUUUGUAAACAAGCAACACUUAUCUAUUUGUAUUAAGCUUUCUAUCACUAGUAAAGGAGCUCCCAAUUCCAUAUUCUAUUGUCAGAGUUGCUCUGAAGGAUGUGAAAGUGCCGGUUUUCACUUUCUUGUUUGAUUAAUCCAAGACUUGCUACUGUCUUCAGUUAUUGUAAAAUUUAGAUUCAUGGUUUCAUAUAUUUGCAGAACUUGUGGAGUUGGGCUGGGCUGGGCUGGGCUGGUGUUUCCACGUCAACCUUUGGUACACCACAUCACAAACAAAACUCUUCCAUAUUCAAUAGUAGGAGAGUUUCUCACUGUGUAGAAUGGUGUUACUUGUCUCUAGCAUCUGGACCAUUUAGAAUGGUGUCACCAUAUUUUGUAUGUAUGAACGGAUAUCCUGUUCCUUUUUUUUUGAAACGGAUAUCCUGUUCAAUUCAUAGAUCUUUUUAUAUUCCAUUAUCUUUUAUAUUCCACUCGUAAUGUGAAAUAUUUCACUAAAAUGUUCAUUUUUCCAAAAUAUCAUGUUUGAGCAGUUUGGGGUGGUUACAUGCACUUCACCGGCUUUCGUUUCGAGUUUGGGGCCUCCUUUCUGACUCAGUUAGUGGACUAUUUUCCAAGUGGAGUUAUUUGGAAGAUUGAUAUGGAGAGAGUGGCCCUGGUGGUUCAUGCGUCCUUGAUGCUCACAUCACCCAUUCCCAAGGUAUUUUUCCUUGGUCUUCAUAUUGGACUUUAGAUCCAAGCGCUUUCAGUAAAAGAACAGAGCAUAAACAAUAUAUUUGGUUGUACUUGGACCUGGCAAACACAGUUUUAUUUCAGAGACUGAGACCUAAUCGACUAGCUCGUACCUAUUAUACAAGUAUGCUAUAAACAUGGUCUAGGCGGCACAAGUGGCGCAGGUGCAACCUUCCCCACAGGUGCAAAAGGCCUUGCCGACCUUAGCGGAGGUCUGGGUCUUGGCGCAGGUGCAAGGGUUGCAGCCGCAGUGCUCCCCGCACGGGCACAUGUUGUGUUCUUGAUCCCCACCAGAUGCUGCGCUCAUCCUGCACCUACAUGGACUCCAACGUUCUUUUUUAAGUUGAACAAAAUACAUCAAUUCUUGAGAGCAUAUAGAAGAGUAGAAACCUGCAGGAUUCUCCACCUGGACAGGGAGAUGGGCAGCCACAGCGACUGUUGCCCGUGUUGUGGGUUUAGUUAUGCGUGGAAGCGCGUGGAGAGGAACGUCACUAAAUUGGACCAACUUGCUUGAAAAGAAGUUAUGAAAGACCCCAUACGGCUUUCGCUUUUAUUGCACAACCUCCGAAACCAUUUCGCGUUUAACGUCUAGAGACGGGAGUUGAUAAAAAAAAAAAGACAUAGAGACGGGACAAAAGAAAGAGCCAGACACGACACUAGCGUCUCUGUUUUAUUGCUGCUUACCUCUAUUAUUCUGUCACAAAGGAAAAACCAAGGAGAGAAGAUCCAAUUGAGAGACAUGCAUGCAAAGACGGACUCCGAGGCCACUAGCAUUGACGCGGCUUUGUCAUGGCCGCCGCGCUCUCCGCCCCGUUCGGCGACUAGACCUCUUUACUAUGUACAGAGUCCCUCCAACCACGACGUGGAGAAGAUGUCAUUUGGGUCCGGUUGCAGCCCGAUGGGUUCUCCCUCACACCCACAUUACUACCACUGCUCACCCAUCCAUCACUCCCGUGAAUCCUCCACCUCUCGCUUCUCUGACCGAGCACUCCUCUCCUACCAGUCAAUCCGCGAAGGAAGCGGACGCCGUCGUUACAUCAACAGCGCCAUCGACGAAGAAACUGACGACGGAGAUGACGACCCCUUUCGAAAUGUGCGUCUCUACGGCUGCUUGCUCCUCUCCUUGUUCCUCUUGUUCUCAAUCUUCUCUCUCAUACUGUGGGGUGCUAGCAAAUCCUACCCUCCUAAAGUUGUGGUAAAGGUAACAAUAACUAUCGCUCUUUUCUUCACUCGGUGACUCGGGCUGAGUUAAGAGUAGAGUCGACUCGUCUAGUGGAUAGGUGUUCGGUUUCACUUUCUUCGGUUUCACUUUCCUUAAAAGAAACAAUCUGAAAAAGGCCAACAAUGAAAAAUAGUAUAAUACUAGUGUUAUGUCCCGUACUAGCGUACGGGCACAAAAAUUAAUAUUACUCAUAUCUUACGAAACUUGAGUUUAUGUAACUGAUGAGAUCCUCAACAAAAUUUCCUUCCUGAUAAACUGUGUUGGAUCUGAUCCAUUAAAAAUGAUUUGGAUUAUCUAGUCUAGUGUUGCGUCAGAAAAAUUCACUCGUACUUGUGUGGACAUAGUUUUGACUAUCUCAUACCAACUGCACCAGUUAGUCUAGUGUUGCGUCAGAAAAAUUCACUCGCGCUAGUGUUAUAUUUUUUUUGCGUCAAUGGUUAAAACAAACAGAUUUAGUUCACAAUCUAUACCUCAUAUAUUGUAUUGCACAUAAUUCAUUUCAUUUGUUGCAGAGAAAUAUGAUGGAGCAAUAUAUGAAAAAGUAGCAAUAGCAGAAAAUAGAGAAAACGAAAAAUUAAAGAAAAAACAGUUAUAGAAGAUGAAACAGUUUAAAGUCAUGUUAUGAUUUGAGAGAGUGACGAUUUGAUAGUGAUUUUUUGUAACUUUUUCAUCUUCUAUAACUGAGUUUUUUUUCUUUAUUUCUCUCUCUAUCGUUUCUUAUUCUUGAUAAUGUUUCCCAGCUUUUCAAUAUUCAACAAAAAUCAGUAUAGGUUUUUGAGUACUCUAUUCAUAUUCCUUUUGUUUGGUUUAUCCCUAGAUUUAGAGAUUAAGAAUCUAAAAUAUGUUUUUGCCAAAGCCAAUUUCUUCUCUUAUGUUUUUGCCAUAUAAUUUUAAUUAAAUAUAAUGUAGAUCAAAAUUUAUGGAAGAAAAAAGCUUUUUGAAGUGGUGAAAACUAAUUUGAACGUGGGAUGAGAUUAGAUGAGAUCUUUGAGAAAAUAUAGGACUUUAGAUAUUUGAAGUUGCAAAAAAUGAAACUGACGUUAAGAUUUUUUUCAUUUUUCUUUUUGGUAAAACAUUAUCCAUGUGUCAGAAUUUUAGUGGGCAAGUAUUUUAGUGGGUAAGUGACUUGUGCUUUAGUAUAUAAAAGAUUCUUUUUUAAAAAUAAAUAAGUAAAAUAGAUUAACAAGUAAACAAAGUGUGGAAUGAGAGACAAGUGUGCAUUUGAUUUGGGAGUUAGAAUGUGAGCAAGUGUUAGACUGAAUAUAAAUACUUGCAGGGGAUGCUGGUGAGGAACUUUAACGUGCAGGCUGGUAACGAUCUUAGCGGUGUGCCCACUGACAUGCUGUCUCUUAAUUCGACUGUCAGGAUCUUCUACCGGAACCCCUCCACCUUCUUCGCCGUCCAUGUCACUGCUCUCCCUCUCCUCCUCCGCUACUCCAACCUCCUCCUUUCCUCCGGUGAGAUGGAGAAGUUCACGGUGGGUAGGAAAAGCGGAAGGAAUAUAGCCACGGUGGUGCAUGGCCAUCAGAUUCCCCUAUACGGCAGUGUCUCUCCCCAUCUCGACAAACUGUCCCUGCCCCUCAAUCUCACUCUCGUCCUCCGUUCCAGGGCUUACAUUUUAGGCAGACUCGUCACCUCCAAUUUCCAUACAAGGAUCAUUUGCUCUUUCACUCUUAAUGCCAACCGCCUUACCAAACCCAUGUCUCUUAUCCACUCAUGUACUCAUCACCACUGACACCACCUUGCACACUUUCUGUGUACUUUGGAUAUAUAUUUUUAUCUUUUGCAAUCAAUCAACAAAUUCUUCCAGGAAUAUUAUUGCUACGACCAAAAAAAAGGCGGUGCAACUCAUCACAUAUAGGUGAAAGCAGACAAGGUUUACAGUUUCCACCGAGUUUAUUAAUACUCAAUUGUGAAGAACAAUGAGCCAAGAUUCUACAAAAAGAAAAAAAAAAUUCAAAUAACAUAAUCGG
rnacentral:lncRNA from 1 species